AUGCGAUAAGUAAUAUGAAUUGCAGAAUCUCGUGAAUCGUUGAAUCUUUGAACGUACAUUGCGCCCUAUGGUAUUCCGUAGGGCAUGCCUGUCUGAGCGUCAGCUCCCCCACCUCAAGUCUCUUAAUUGAAGCUUGGAUCACUUUAAAGAAGUGGCUGAAAUACCGUGACAAUAGGCUACUCUUUAGAAAUUUAUAGGCAGUAUGGCACCUGAACCAGGCGUAAUAAGGAUAUAAAAGUGUCUCUCUUUAGGAAGGUUGUACUUGCCUUAACCCACCCAUUUUCUUCUGAGUCACCUCAGAUCAGGUAGGGAUACCUGCUGAACUUAA
rnacentral:rRNA from 1 species